rnacentral:rRNA from 1 species
UAAUCUAUGGUGGCGACCGGCGCACGGGUGCGUAACGCGUAUGCAACCUACCUUUAACAGGGGGAUAACACUGAGAAAUUGGUACUAAUUCCCCAUAACAUUCGAGAAGGCAUCUUCUUGGGUUAAAAACUCCGGUGGUUAAAGAUGGGCAUGCGUUGUAUUAGCUAGUUGGUGAGGUAACGGCUCACCAAGGCAACGAUACAUAGGGGGACUGAGAGGUUAACCCCCCACAUUGGUACUGAGACACGGACCAA